AACUUCUUCCUGCUGGUGGAUGGGACCAACUGUGCUUUCCCUUCUCGUUCUCUCCUUGCAGACCUUAUAUGGAUGCCGUUGUUUCUUUGGUGACUUUGAUGUUGGACACAGGAUUGCCGUGUUUUCGGGGACAGACCAUCAAACUCUUGAAGAACAGGUUCAGCCCCAACAUGACGGAGCGGGAAGCUGCCAACUUCAUCAUGAAGAUCAUUCAGAAUUGCUUCCUCAGCAACAGGAGCAAGACCUAUGAUAUGAUCCAGUACUACCAAAACGAUAUUCCUUACUAAAACGGGGAGGGGGGAGAGAGACACCACGAUAGCUUCCCUUUCCUCCCAGGCUCGAAAUGUGAAGUUCUGAGAUCGUUGUCUCCUGCCCUUCGAAGCAAGCUCUGUGUGCUCGCGCACGUGUGUGUGUUUGCAUGCCAACCUGGGUGUCCCCCGUGCUAGCGGAUACCGCAACAAUCAACCAACAUCUUAGCUCGCGCCUUUCAUCUUUGCUGGAAUCCUCCUCACGUGGCGUAUCCGUGAUCUAGAAAUUAUCCGCAGUCAUAGACUCUUUAAAAAAAAUGUGUUGAAUUUCUCAAGACGGGCAAAUGGCGGAUGCCAGGCGAAGUCAGGGCCCCCACUUCUUGGUUUGUCUCAAAACCAGAAUUGACGUGGUUGUUGGAGAGCAAGGGUCUUCAACCUUGGCAAGUUUAAGACUUGUGGACUUCAACUCCCAGAAUUCCUGAGCUAACAUGACUGGAGGAGGAAUUCUGGGAGUUGAAGUCCACAAGUCUUAAAGCUGUCAAGUUUGAAGACCUCCUGAUCUAGAGCAUCGGAUGCAAACCAGGUGCUGUAGAAUGAUAGUCCAGAGCGACGGAAGAACGAUUUGCUCUGGUGCAAUGCUGUAGAAAUUGUAAGGAUAAUCAUUUUGCACUUGUCGGUGUAAAUCGCUUGUAUUUUUUGCACUGUAAAUCUCCUUGCUCCAUGGUCAGUAUUUCUUAUUUUUCAGGAAGAAUGUAUCACAACCCACCCACCCACCUACCCCUUUUUGUGUGGUUUUAAAGAGAGAUGCUCUACUGAAGAGAGGUUAUAUUUAAUCUUAAAUAAAAAAA